GACGAACGCUGGCGGCGUGCUUAACACAUGCAAGUCGAGCGGUAAGGCCCUUUCGGGGGUACACGAGCGGCGAACGGGUGAGUAACACGUGGGUGACCUGCCCUCAGCUCUGGGAUAAGCCUGGGAAACUGGGUCUAAUACCGGAUAUGACUCCAUGACGCAUGUUGUGGGGUGGAAAGCCUUGUGCGGCUGAGGAUGGGCCCGCGGCCUAUCAGCUUGUUGGUGGGGNGAUGGCCUACCAAGGCGACGACGGGUAGCCGGCCUGAGAGGGCGACCGGCCACACUGGGACUGAGACGCGGCCCAGACUCCUACGGGAGGCAGCAGUGGGGAAUAUUGCGCAAUGGGCGGAAGCCUGACGCAGCGACGCCGCGUGAAGGAUGACGGCCUGG
rnacentral:rRNA from 1 species